rnacentral:rRNA from 1 species
AUUGAACGCUGGCGGCAGGCCUAACACAUGCAAGUCGAACGGUAACAGGGAUCUGCUUGCUGAUUCGCUGACGAGUGGCGGACGGGUGAGUAAUGUCUGGGAAACUGCCUGAUGGAGGGGGAUAACUACUGGAAACGGUAGCUAAUACCGCAUAACGUCGCAAGACCAAAGAGGGGGACCUUCGGGCCUCUUGCCAUCGGAUGUGCCCAGAUGGGAUUAGCUAGUAGGUGGGGUAACGGCUCACCUAGGCGACGAUCCCUAGCUGGUCGUAGAGGAUGACCACGCACACUGGAAAUGAGACACGGUCCCGACUACUACGGGAGGCAGCGGUGGGGAAUAUUGCACAAUGGGCGCAAGCCUGAUGCAGCCAUGCCGCGUGUAUGAAGAAGGCCUUCGGGUUGUAAAGUACUUUCAGCGGGGAGGAAGGGAGUAAAGUUCAUACCUUUGCUCAUUGACGUUACCCGCAGAAGAAGCACCGGCUAACUCCGUG